rnacentral:lncRNA from 1 species
GUGCUCCUGCGUUCCCUUGGUGUCACGCCAGCUUCACACCUCCGCAGAGCUGUCAAGGGGGCUCCCAUUUCCACCUAUGAUAAGUGCACCAUAUGAAAACCUGUUUCCUGGAGGCCUUUUUGAUGACAAGCUCCUGAGCACUGGGGGUCUCCAGCACAAACUCCUCGAGGUCCGCCUGGGCACUUGCAUGGGCAGAUUUUGGUGCUUUCCCAAUCUUCUUGGGACAAAGGUAAACGAUUCUAUUACCAGGGGUUCAGCACAGCCUAGGUCUGUUAGAGGCUGUCUUGUAGGACAGCUUACGGCCGUACAUCAAACGCUGGAACAUUCUGAAUGCCUACAGGUGCUGUCCCCAGAAGACAGUUGCCAUACUCUGAUUGACACAGAAACUGAAGCUGAGAAUGCCCACAAUAGCCUAACUGUGGAAAGAGCCGAGACGUCCAUCAACAGAUGACUGGCUAAGAGGGUGUGAUAUCCACGUACACAAUGGAAUAUUCCUCAGCCAUCAGAAUGGACGGAUACCUACCGUUUGCAUCAAUGUGGAUGGAACUGGAGGGCAUUAUGCUGAGUGACGUAAGUCAGUCAGAGAAAGACAAUUAUCUUAUGGUUUCACUCAGGUGUGGAAUAGAAGAAACAGCACAGAGGAUCGUAGGGGAAGGGAGGGAAACCUGGAUGGCAGUCAUCAGGGAGGGAGAAAAACCACGAGAGACUCCUAUCUAACUGUAGGAAACAACUGAGGGACUCUGGAAGGGAGGUGGGUGGAGGGGAUGGGGUCACUGGGUGACGGGCAUGAAGGAGGGCACGUGAUGGGAUGAGCACUGGAUGUUAUACAAAACUGAUGAAUUACUGAACUCAUGUCUGAACCAAUGAGGGACCAUAUGUUGGCUAAUUGAAUUUAAAUUAAAAAAAAAAAAAGAAGAAGAAGGAACUGAUGCCAAGAGAUGAAGUGUGCCUUCACAAAACCCUAACUUUUGGGAUCCCUGGGUGGCUCAAUCCUGGGAUCGAGUCCCACGUGGGGCUCCCUGCAUGGAGCCUGCUUCUCCCUCUGCCUGUGUCUCUGUCUCUCUCUCUGGGUCUCUCAUGAAUAAAUAAAUAAAAUCUAAAAAAAAAAAAAACA